rnacentral:rRNA from 1 species
AACGUACGCUGGCGGCACGCCUAACACAUGCAAGUCGAACGAAGUAGCAAUACUUAGUGGCAGACGGGUGAGUAACAUGUAGGUAUCUGCCCUUUGGCCUGGAAUAACACGAGGAAACUUGUGCUAAUACCGGAUAAGUCUUUACGGAGAAAGCUUUAUGCACCAUUGGAUGAGCCUGCACUUGAUUAGUUUGUUGGUGGGGUAAUGGCCUACCAAGACUGUGAUCAAUAGCUGAUUUGAGAGGAUGAUCAGCCACAUUGGGACUGAGACACGGCCCAAACUCCUACGGGAGGCAGCAGUGGGGAAUCUUGCACAAUGGAGGAAACUCUGAUGCAGCGAUGCCGCGUGAGUGAAGAAGGCCCUUGGGUUGUAAAGCUCUUUCGUCGGGGAAGAAAAUGACUGUACCCGAAUAAGAAGGUCCGGCUAACUUCGUGCCAGCAGCCGCGGUAAUACGAAGGGACCUAGCGUAGUUCGGAAUUACUGGGCUUAAAGAGUUCGUAGGUGGUUGAAAAAGUUAGUGGUGAAAUCCCAGAGCUUAACUCUGGAACUGCCAUUAAAACUUUUCAGCUAGAGUAUGAUAGAGGAAAGCAGAAUUUCUAGUGUAGAGGUGAAAUUCGUAGAUAUUAGAAAGAAUACCAAUUGCGAAGGCAGCUUUCUGGAUCAUUACUGACACUGAGGAACGAAAGCAUGGGUAGCGAAGAGGAUUAGAUACCCUCGUAGUCCAUGCCGUAAACGAUGUGUGUUAGACGUUGGAAAUUUAUUUUCAGUGUCGCAGGGAAACCGAUAAACGCACCGCCUGGGGAGUACGACCGCAAGGUUAAAACUCAAAUGAAUUGACGGGGACCCGCACAAGUAGUGGAGCAUGUGGUUUAAUUCGAAGAUACGCGCAGAACCUUACCAACACUUGACAUGUUCGUCGCGACUCUAAGAGAUUAGAGUUUUCGGUUCGGCCGGACGAAACACAGGUGCUGCAUGGCUGUCGUCAGCUCGUGUCGUGAGAUGUUGGGUUAAGUCCCGCAACGAGCGCAACCCUCACUUUUAGUUGCCAUCAUUUAGUUGGGCACUCUGAAAGAACUGCCAGUGAUAAGCUGGAGGAAGGUGGGGAUGACGUCAAGUCCUCAUGGCCCUUACGUGUUGGGCUACACACGUGCUACAAUGGUAUCUACAACAGGAAGCAAGACUGCGAAGUUAAGCAAAUCCCUAAAAGAUACCUCAGUUCGGAUUGCACUCUGCAACUCGAGUGCAUGAAGCUGGAAUUACUAGUAAUCGUGGAUCAGCGUGCCACGGUGAAUGCGUUCCCGGGUCU